rnacentral:lncRNA from 1 species
CUAGAUUCAGACAUACUGCCAUCUACUGACUCACCAAGGAAUGUACCAGCACAAGACACUGAUCUUCAAGGGCAAGGGAACACCAUGAGGAGAGUUCUUGAGAUCCUGCCUUCCUUUCAGAAUGCCAUCUCCAGGGUGCCAAUGGGCUGUGGCUACUGGACCAUGUAGGAGAGUGGCGCAAGAGAAAGAGACCUCCUUUUGCUUAAGGAAAGACCAAGAUUAUGUAAAGGUAAGUAUUGUCUGAGAAAUUUUAUAAGUCAUAUCAAUAAAUGUGCUUUCAGUCCAGAGUCAUGGUUUUACAACUCAUAUGCAGCCAGACACAGAAAAAUGAUAAAGAUUCAGCUUGUUAGGUGACAUAAUUGUGAAAUCUCUAUCACCCUAGAAAUUAAUUGAGAUUAGAAAGCACAGAGAUUAGCAAUAAGGAGUUAUGUCUCAGGCAUAUGUGUUUGAAUUUUGUUAGCUUUUCUCAAAAAUAAUAUGAAAGAAAAAUAAUUCCCCAGUAUAGAAAAAAGUACAGCAGAAAAGUCGCAAAAAAUUAUUCUGACCUAUUUAUUUCUCGAUUUUACUACAGAAAUCAACCGCUAAAGCACAUGUACACUGGUGCUGUUAGUCAACUUAUACUACUAUUGUUUGUGGAGAUUAUGUCCCAAAUUCAACCAAAGUUGUACACAUAAUGGAAAAGUUUGAAUUACAUGAAGGGAAAGAAGUUGACAGAAAAAGAGGGAGAUUUUUAAU